AAUAUUAUAUUAUGUGCGAGUACCCUGUACACAUUUUAUAUACUAUAUGAUUUAAACUAGGGCCUACACUACAAGUGCACAUUCAAUACAAGUAAUGUCCUUAUUUUUCACAAGGAAAACUUAUACUGGAACAACAGUGUGGGCUGUGAGAUGAGAACAGAGACACUUUGAGCUUUAACCACUAACCAUCGACCAACUGCUGACUGAUGAGGAAACAUCAUUAGCUUGUGAGAGACGAAGACAAACUGAACCACAGUGAUCUGAACUGAAGACAGCGACUGUAACACAUUUCAGUUUCAUUCAGCAACAUGAACAGUGAAAAUCAGACCUUGAUGGAAAUCAGAAGGAUUAUCUUCCUCAUCGCUAGUGUUUGUGUCGGUCUGCCAGCUCUGGUUUGGGCUUUUCGUCUUCUGCACCUUCACAGAAAGAUCAGAGGCCGAAUCUCAGUCUUCAUCCUCCUCCUCCUCCUCAAUGACCUGAUACAAUUGCCUCUUUAUCUAUAUAUAAUGACAAACAUACUGACAGAAUACAGAUACUAUAUCGAUGCGCUUUUCCAGUUUUGGUUGGGAUUACAUUGGUGUGGUUUUCAUCUGCAUCAGCUGGUGGCUCUGGAGGGGAUUUUGACUCUGAAAUAUCCGCUUUGUUCUGCUCGUGUUUUCUCACUGCCCUGUUACAUCUUAAUCUCCAUCCUUGUGCUUUUUUUUCCUAUAGUGAGUGCAUUAUUUCUUUUCCCGCAUUCACAAACUACAAACAUGUCAUUAUUCAGUCUCAGCACAAGUGUUGUUCCUCUGAUCUUAUUGGCUGUAUCAUCUACAAUCAGCUGUAAAGCCUCUUCCACUCCUGUCAGAAAAAACAGUUCAGUGCUCACUGUUGCUAUUCUUACAUUUGUUAUGAUGUACUUACCUUUCAUGUUGAUCAUCUGGGUGGAUUUAUUUCAUUUAUAUCCAUAUGUCAGCCCGUCUUGGUUCAUAAUAUCUUUCUGUUUGAGGAUUUUGAGAGUGAUUUCAGAUCCUAUUCUGUGUGUUUUGGUCUGCAGAGAAAAUCUCAGAGAUGUUCAGACGCCACAAACACACACAGAACCCAACGCUGAUGAGACGUCAGUCUGAGCUUGAGAUUCAUUAGUCCUCACGUCUGAAUCUGGCUUCAAAGCAAAACAUAAAAUGACCUGUAAAAUGAAAAAUAAUAAAAUAAAUAAUAUAUGACUUAAAGAUUAAUUUGAAAGGUCUGUGAUUGCUAAAAGUGAAAGUGUGCUCUCUAUGACACAAACAGCACAAAUUGAGUUUCCAUCUCUUUAAUGGUCAUUUUGACAGUUUGUUUAAUAUUGUAAUAUA